rnacentral:rRNA from 1 species
AGAACGAACGCUGGCGGCAGGCCUAACACAUGCAAGUCGAGCGAACCCUUCGGGGUUAGCGGCGGACGGGUUAGUAACCGCGUGGGAAUAUACCCUUUGGUACGGAAUAGCCUCGGGAAACUGAGAGUAAUACCGUAUGUGCCCUUCGGGGGAAAGAUUUAUCGCCAAAGGAUUAGCCCGCGUUGGAUUAGAUAGUUGGUGGGGUAAUGGCCUACCAAGUCUACGAUCCAUAGCUGGUUUGAGAGGAUGAUCAGCAACACUGGGACUGAGACACGGCCCAGACUCCUACGGGAGGCAGCAGUGGGGAAUCUUAGACAAUGGGCGCAAGCCUGAUCUAGCCAUGCCGCGUGGACGAUGAAGGCCUUAGGGUUGUAAAGUCCUUUCAGAUGGGAAGAUAAUGACGGUACCAUCAGAAGAAGCCCCGGCUAACUCCGUG